rnacentral:rRNA from 1 species
GAUGAACGCUAGCGAUAGGCUUAACACAUGCAAGUCGAGGGGCAGCGCGGGUAGCAAUACCUGUCGGCGACCGGCGCACGGGUGAGUAACGCGUAUGUAACCUGCCCGCAACAGGGGGAUAACCCGGCGAAAGUCGGACUAAUACCGCAUAAAACAGGGGUCCCGCAUGGGAAUAUUUGUUAAAGAUUUAUCGGUUGCGGAUGGGCAUGCGUACUAUUAGGUAGUUGGUGAGGUAACGGCUCACCAAGCCUUCGAUGGUUAGGGGUUCUGAGAGGAAGGUCCCCCACACUGGUACUGAGACACGGACCAGACUCCUACGGGAGGCAGCAGUGAGGAAUAUUGGUCAAUGGGCGAGAGCCUGAACCAGCCAAGUCGCGUGAAGGAUGACUGCCCUAUGGGUUGUAAACUUCUUUUACAAGGGAAUAAAAUGAGAUACGUGUAUUUUAUUGCAUGUACCUUGGGAAUAAGCAUCGGCUAACUCCGUG